AAUUGUAUUUUUGCCAGUUGAAUUUUGACGAAUUGGAAGACACUUUUUUCUUUCUUGAAGUCUCUGCUUGCAUUGGCCGAGAAGAGAAAAAGUCUUACAUGUGCACUUUUACACAAAGAGCCAGGCCAAAUAUUUAGCAGUCAUAAGCUUUUUUAGGUGACCUUUGGGUCAUUCUGCAAUAAGUCAAAGUUUAAUGAACAACGAGCAGUUUGGCUUCAAGUAGAUUCAAGUCUCAACUAAACUCAAAGCGGAUUUGACGGGGCUGAGACACAGAAGAAGAUGCUGGACCGACGGGAAAUGAAACCUCAGAAAAUUUAAGGGUUUUUUUUUUGUUUGUUUGUUUUUGUUUUUUGUUUUUUUUUCUUCAUUGUGACUGUGUGAAACCAUGUCUGUCUUUCCCCGCUUGUGUCCGAGGAUAAGCACUUAAAAUGUAAUCAUGGAGAGUUCGGACUCCUUCGAUGUGGAAUAUUUGUUAAAGCUGGUCGAUAAUCUGCGCCUGAAGUGCUUGUGAGCACACUGGGCUGCUAGUAGCAGACAUGCUCCUCUUUUCAAACAGCAGUGUUCUUCGCCUACGCGUUGUUACGACAUUUCCAUAUACCAAUGGAGACAGUAUUCCCGAAAGAAUGGAAGGACUCGCAUUCAACUACCAAUAAAAAGCGAACAAGGUAUCCUUAUUCCAGAAAAAAAAAAAAUCUCUGGCAAUCAAUCACCCGCUGAAAUAUACAGGAA